rnacentral:rRNA from 1 species
CGUGUAGGCGGUUUGAUUAGUCUGAUGUGAAAGCCCUGGGCUCAACCCAGGAAGUGCAUUGGAAACUGUCAGACUUGAAUACGGGAGAGGGUAGUGGAAUUCCUAGUGUAGGAGUGAAAUCCGUAGAUAUUAGGAGGAACACCGGUGGCGAAGGCGGCUGCCUGGACCGAUAUUGACGCUGAGACGCGAAAGCGUGGGUAGCAAACA